GUUAGAAUCCAAACCACCGAAAUGCGACACUUGUCCAGAGCUCAUCCUGCAUCACAUCAGCAUAGUGGACUUCACUCCGCCGAGUCUGCCUCAGAUCCUGAGAUUCCUGAGCAUCGUGGAGGAAGCCAAUGCUAAAGGGGAGGUGAGGGCGGAACGCUUUUUUAUAGUGUUUUUAUAGAACGGGUCCAUCGAAAUAAAAGCCUACUGCUUCAUUUUCACCCAAUAUUUACAAGCUAGAUGAGAUGUGUUUUGCACGUACUAUACUAUUACCGGAAAGCAUCCGUUUCCUGUAACGUUAGAUCAAAGUUCUCUUUCCGCAAGGGGGCGCUUGGCGGGCAGUAUUAAAAUCUGAGAUUUUUUUUUUUUUUUUUCUGUUUUAUUGAAGACAUUAAUACACUAAAGUAUAAUUGUUCAAAUAUUUUUAUUUAAAAUAAAUUGCAUAUUACUAUCAAUUUCUCUAACACGAUUUUAAACAACAUUCUUAAUCUGUACACUCUAAAAAAUGUUGGGUUGUUUUCUCAACCCAAACGCUGGGUUGAGACUUUUGUGUAAGGAUGCUGGGUUGAUGUAACCCAAUUUGGGUUGAGAAUCGUUCUUAAUCUGUAACCCAGCGGUGCUGGGUUGGGAACGCGGACGUGAAAGAGAGCACGCACGCACGUCACGCAACAACACAGACUACACCAGUCGGAGAAGCCGCCAUUUUCUUAGCGCCUUCAGGUGGAAGGACGUUUAUGCAGUUUAUGUUUUACUCUCAGAUUAACGUUACCUCACGGCGAAUGACAGCGGCGCUGCGCCUCAUAACGUUACAACUCUGCUCAGUGGACUAGGAAGAAAGUGCGCCACACUGUCAUCGCGACGCUGGCCUUAGGAAGGGAAAAGGCAGCAAGCACUGUGAUCUUUCUGAAAUGACUGGAAAGUGCAUCGAAGGACAUUGAAAAAUAAAUGCAAAACAAUGGACGAAUAUGUGAAAACUAAACUAAGAGAAUGGAAUCUUGAAGAGUUAAUUCCCACAUUUGAAGAGUCAAAUGUAGAUUCAGAAAGAGCUACUCAAAUGACAGAGUGGCUUAAAAAUAGUAUCUGGCCACUAAGUCAGGUUGAGCAAUACAUGAAGGAGACGUCUAUCCAUAGGGCCAAAUGGAUUCGUGACAAUGGAACCAAGACAAUGAUGGAAAUAUUCAAGGAGUAUCCACGUCUCCUCGACACUCCAGGCAUGAUAUCCCAUGAUUUCUUAAUUUUGAAUCCAGACUCCGCUUCCAAACUCACCGAAAAUUGGGUACCUGUGUUUAAGGAUAAGAUUCUGCAGUUUGCCAGCAGAGAGAAACAAUCUCUUGAUCUACUUUCCAGUGUAGAAUUGAUGUCAGCAGGUAAUGGGUAUUAAGAACACUGUUACAAAUUAAUAAUUCAGUCUAAAAAUGAAUUACUAUCUCUCAUGUCAUUAUAAAAAAGGAGAGAUUUUCCCUGUUUACAAUUACUGUUAGUCAACUAAUUACUGACAACUUUCAUUUUGUUAACUAUUUCUUUGUAACACAAUUUAAUAAAUUAAUGUCAUACAUCCAGAUUUAUUGCAGUCAA